rnacentral:rRNA from 1 species
ACGAACGCUGGCGGCGUGCUUAACACAUGCAAGUCGAACGGAAAGGCCCUGCUUUUGUGGGGUGCUCGAGUGGCGAACGGGUGAGUAACACGUGAGUAACCUGCCCUUGACUUUGGGAUAACUUCAGGAAACUGGGGCUAAUACCGGAUAGGAGCUCCUGCUGCAUGGUGGGGGUUGGAAAGUUUCGGCGGUUGGGAUGGACUCGCGGCUUAUCAGCUUGUUGGUGGGGUAGUGGCUUACCAAGGCCUUGACGGGUAGCCGGCCUGAGAGGGUGACCGGCCACAUUGGGACUGAGAUACGGCCCAGACUCCUACGGGAGGCAGCAGUGGGGAAUAUUGCACAAUGGGCGGAAGCCUGAUGCAGCAACGCCGCGUGCGGGAUGACGGCCUUCGGGUUGUAAACCGCUUUCGCCUGUGACGAAGCGUGAGUGACGGUAAUGGGUAAAGAAGCACCGGCUAACUACGUG